rnacentral:lncRNA from 1 species
CAUUGCAAAUUGAAACCUACUCAAGGAAGUGCAGCGGCCCAGAAAACUGAGAGAAGCAACCAGGGCAAAGACAGAGCUGGCUCAGUGGGCUAAAUAUGAAAUCAUCAAUGAUGCUGGACCAAAGGGAGUCCAGGUAUCACCGAGAUGCCAAACAGAAGGGUACCUCCACAUUCAUGGUGGAGCACAUCAUCGACUCUUCACCAGCUACCUGCAUGUUAAGGAAGAUAUUAUCUGGAGUGCUCUACAUAUGGCAAACACCAAUGUGUGCUGAUUAUCGAGAUCAGCUGGACAAGCAGUGAGAACCCUGCUCAUUAGGCCACAAGAGUAAUCCCGAGGGGGAUUCCAGCAGAGUUAUGAUGUCACUCUUCAUCACUCACCAGGCUAAGAAACAAUCCAAAAAUAAGAAAAACGAACAAAUGAACGAAAGUCCUAAAUUGGGUACUGCCAAGAGCUCAGCUGAAUGAAUCCUUGCUGGCGACAGAUAUAUCCUUAGGAAUGGUCUCUUGCAGAUAAUUGCUGAGAAGGCUUACGGUUUACUGACCUGCUGGGGUGCACGGAGAAUUAUUGACUCAGACCUAAUUAAAUUGUUGCCUGCUGCUUUUUUGAAAUUCUGCCAGGGAAUCCUUGCUGUCCUUAGCAGAGUCUUUCAGUUGGAGGCUGUGGCUGAACUGUACCAAGGGCGUUUUAUGGAGCUCCAUUGACACUCCUCCUGGUUUCUUUUAACAUAUUACACCCAGGGACAUUUUUAAACAAUGUAUUCUGCUGCAGAGAUGUGAAUACACAAGUCAUCUGGGAUAACGUCACACAAAAGGGUAAGCUUAGAGAUGGCGACUGCUCUUCCAGAAGACUCAGGGUUAAUUGCCAACAGCUCUGGCAGCUCACAAUUAUUUGCAAUAAAAUACACAAGAAAGGAAACUCAAGUGUAAAUAUGGAAAAGCAAAUAUUGUAGAUUUGUUUAUCUGUUUAGACAGUAUCUCCAUGAAGCCGGUACUACGUAGCUUAACAUUCACUAUGGAGCCAUAUACAGGAAUGCAAGCUUGACUGAAAAUUUUCUUCAGUAUUUUAAUCUGCAGUUGAUCAUCACGGCCAGUAGAUGGUGCUUGUGUCCCUACAAGGAAAAUUCUGGGCAGCAUUAAAUACGAGAAAUUUUUAGAAAUCUGGGAAUUUAAUGAAUCUCCAACUGAACCCAGUAGAGAAAUUAAGAAUAGUUAUUUCUUGAAACAAUUUUAUGACACCAGAAAAAAUAUCUCCACAAGUUCCUCUUUCUUCACAGGAAAACACAAUGCCUGAUGUCUGUCUAAACAUCCCACAUUUGAACUCUAAAUUUAUAUUUAAUAUCAUGGACAUGUGGUUUCAGUAAGGACACUGUGGAUGAUGCCCAGCUCAGACACAGAACUUGGAGGCUUUGAGCUGGAUCUAAUCUGAAGGCUGGCUUUCAGAGUCCUGGAAGGUAUAUUGCAAACUGCUAAGGCAAGCAGACAGCCAAUAAUCCUACACAGCUGUUACUGACACCCACGAACCGCAACAGUGACCAGCACAGCAAGAUGUCCCUACAGCUCAUGGAACAACAGUGUGCAUGUUCCUCAAAGAUCUCAAAAUAGAUCUACUAUAUUAUCCAGCUAUACCACUCUUGGGUGUAUACCCAAGGACUGUAUGUUCUACUACAGCGAGUCUGCUACCUGCUCAUUCAUAUUCAUGGUUGCUCUAUGUAUAAUGGCCAGU